rnacentral:rRNA from 1 species
GACGAACGCUGGCGGCGUGCUUAACACAUGCAAGUCGAACGGUGAAGCUCCAGCUUGCUGGCGUGGAUCAGUGGCGAACGGGUGAGUAACACGUGAGCAACCUGCCCCUGACUCUGGAAUAAGCGCUGGAAACGGCGUCUAAUACUGGAUACGAGAAGGGUCCGCAUGGGCACUUUCUGGAAAGUUUUUCGGUUGGGGAUGGGCUCGCGGCCUAUCAGCUUGUUGGUGAGGUAAUGGCUCACCAAGGCGACGACGGGUAGCCGGCCGGAGAGGGCGACCGGCCACGCUGGGCCUGAGACAGGCCCCGGACCCCUGCGGGAGGCAGCAGUGGGAAAUAUUGCACAAUGGGCGAAACCCUGAUGCAGCGACGCCGCGGGAGGGAUACCGGCCUUCGGUUUUUAACCCUCUUUCAGCAGGGAAGAAGCGAAAGGGACGGUCCCUGAAAAAGAAGCCCCUGCUACCUACGUG